rnacentral:rRNA from 1 species
UACGUAGGGGGCAAGCGUUGUCCGGAAUCAUUGGGCGUAAAGCGCGUGUAGGCGGCUAGAUAAGUCUGCUCUGAAAGCCCGGGGCUCAACCCCGGGAGGCGGGUGGAUACUGUCUAGCUCGAGUACGGAAGAGGAGUGUGGAAUUCCUGGUGUAGCGGUGAAAUGCGCAGAUAUCAGGAGGAACACCAAUGGCGAAGGCAGCACUCUGGGACGUGACUGACGCUGAGACGCGAAAGCGUGGGUAGCAAACAGG